rnacentral:rRNA from 1 species
UACGUAGGGGGCAAGCGUUGUCCGGAAUCAUUGGGCGUAAAGAGCUCGUAGGCGGUCUGUCGCGUCGGCUGUGAAAACUCGGGGCUCAACCCCGAGCCUGCAGUCGAUACGGGCAGACUAGAGUGCUGUAGGGGAGACUGGAAUUCCUGGUGUAGCGGUGAAAUGCGCAGAUAUCAGGAGGAACACCGGUGGCGAAGGCGGGUCUCUGGGCAGUAACUGACGCUGAGGAGCGAAAGCGUGGGGAGCGAACAGG